UUGAACUAUGAGAUGCUUUAUGGUACAUUCUGAGGCAUUUCUGAAUGCGUAAACUGAACAUUUAUUUGAAAAUUCUUGGCUUUUUUUUGGAAGGAAAAGGGGGCAUUAAAACCCCGACGCUCCCCAUGGGUCCGGCCUAGCUGGCAGGGCUAGCUAGCGCGACCCGGCAAGGCUAGCUCUCUGCAGUACGCCCAGGACUGGCGUCGACCGCCGGCGUCCCCGCUAGACCCGCAGAGCUCGCAUUCCUGCGGCUAGCUAGCAUCAGAUACAGUUUCAGCUGGUCGGCGCAGCUAGCCUUGCCCUGCUGGUGGUUCCUUGUCUUCACUCCAAAAAUAUCUACAAUGUAUACCAAAACCUAACAUGCUUGAAGAUGUAGAAGAUCCUCGCUAUCCAUCCACCUUCGCAGCUUCUUUUGCCUCACAAUUACCUCUGUCACAAGCCCUAUCAAACACCGUGCCUGAUUAUGGUGCAGCUGACAGCACUGGGGACACUUUGCCUCAAUUGAAGCUGUUAUUCAACCCUUAGACACAACCACUUGCCUGUUAAUUACCUGCUAUGAAAGAAAUUACAUAUGGUGAAACCAAACAUGCUUGAAGAUGUAGGAGAUCCUUGCUAUCCAUCCACCUUCGCAGCUUCUUUUGCCUCACAAUUGCCUCUGUAACAAGUCCUAUUAAACACCGUGCCUGCUUAUGGUGCAGCUGACAGCACUGGGGACACUUUGCCUCAAUUGAAGCUGUUAUUCAACCCUUAGACACAACCACUUGCCUGUUAAUUACCUGCUAUGAAAGAAAUUACAUAUGGUGAAACCAAACAUGCUUGAAGAUGUAGGAGAUCCUUGCUAUCCAUCCACCUUCGCAGCUUCUUUUGCCUCACAAUUGCCUCUGUAACAAGUCCUAUUAAACACCGUGCCUGCUUAUGGUGCAGCUGACAGCACUGGGGACACUUUGCCUCAAUUGAAGCUGUUAUUCAACCCUUAGACACAACCACUUGCCUGCUAAUUACCUGCUAUGAAAGAAAUUACAUAUUGGGAGCUACUAGCAAAGGAACAACUUCAACACUGCAUCAAAUGGCUCGACCAAAGUUAUCAGUGGAGCAAUAUUCACCUGGUUUCCCCAAAACAAAACAGCACAUCCCAAAGAAUGGUGAACUCCAGUUGAAAAGACAUGCGAUUUUGAAAUAACCAUGGUCAUUUCAGACAUCUUGCGGGAGAAUUAAAAGGGGCAAGAACAGUCAGUGAUUUAGAUACAUUUUACCAUCAGGAGCAUUCACUGCAUUGCACAGUAUGUAACUGAAUAGUUGGAGAGAAACUGGACUCUGUGUAACUAUACUAGACAUGACAAGUACAGAAGUACUAGCUAGUAAUGGACAAGGAAUUUUACUCACGUGAGCAGUUCAAAACCAAAUCCAAGUAAGUUUUCCUCAAGUGUAUCCAACCAGCCCUUCAAAUGCUGCACCUAGACCACAAGGCCAUCCAAAACUGCACCACUCCGACAAUUCUGGGAGUUACAGUCAGAUCUCAAAUGGAAUUUCCAAGUGUUUGAUAUGAUAUCAAGUGCCGGCAAGCGACUAUACAUUUACGACAUCUCAGAGUAUCAUGUGAAGAUCUAGCAGACAUCUUCUCGACAUAUAUCCGAUCUUCGCUAGAAUACGCUUCUCCAGUUUGGUCCACAUCAAUUUCCCGAACAGUUAUCUUGCAGUCUGAAGAAAGUGCAGAAACGUGUCUGCUGUAUUAUCCUUGGAUAAGAACAGUUGUAUGAAACCACUCGUUUCUCUCCAGAGUCUAACUUCUUGCCGUCUUGCCCUUCUUGAAUCCUUUUCUCUCAAACUGUUUAAGUCAUCACGAGAUCGAAUUAUGUUCUAUCGCCAACUCGUCGCCAAACCUCUUGCCAUGAACUAUGAAACUCUCUACACAUAACUAUACCCUAUUGUAGAACUGAGAGACACCGCACUUCAAUUAUUCCCUAUAUCGUACAACUCCUUAACAACCAACUGUGAUUUUAAUUAUCUUUGUCAUGUUUGUAUUUAUUUAUUUUUGCUUACCAUAUUAUUGUUUUUCAUUCUUCUCUUUUCCAUUCUUCAUUCUUUUAUCCUCCCCUCUCAUGUACUUUUUCUCCUUCUCUCUAAAUCAGCAAUUAAAGUACUUACAUGCAUUAUGAUUAUUAUUACAAUUUUGAUUAAUUACAAAAGAGUCAUCUCAGAAUGAAGUAUCUUUUUAAUCAAUCUUUUUAUUCAUUAUGUUUAGCUUGUAUUUAGGUUUUUCACACCAAUUAACCAAUGUAUCGGUUAUUACAGAAUUUUGAAAUCACAAUUAUAGGCAUGUAUUUUCUGAGGAGAGGGUGGUGUUGACUUUUUGUGACUGCUUUUAUUUGUGUUUGCGAUGGGAUUUCAUUUCUUUCAUUACCCAUUGUCGGUUUAAUUCAAAACUGUAUGAGUUUUAGAGCUCAAUAAGUAAUAAGUCUUAUUUAGGUAUCAACAAAAGCUUAUACUCUGAACAUAAUUGUUUAAAUAUAAGGUUAUACUAUUUACAAUUGCUAUACAAUUUCUUUUUGGAGCAUUUUUUGGGUACUAAAGUUCUUGCUAGAUGUUAACCCAAUUAAGCCAUGCGUAAACAAUUUUCAAUAUUAUUAUUCUACUCAAAGAAAAGAACGGGGUGAUUUUUUUCCUAUUUGUAUACCUUUUUUCCUGUGUUUGGUACUAAAUUUGUCAUUACAGGAAAUAUAUAUUUUUGAAGUCAUUGCCAAUUUUCAUGAGUUCGGCUCAUGGUCAAUUUUAGUUGAAUUGCCCACAUUCAAAUGUAUACAAUUCUUUAAAAUCAUAUUGAUUUUAUUUUGGCAUGUAUUCUUUGGUAGCAAAAAUACACCCAUCACAUUAGGUAAUUAAGCUAAGGGUAAUUGCUGGUAAAUUUUCGAAUUCUCUGGUGUGCAAGUUUUAUAUAAUCUCUCUAUCUUUUAUGAGGGAAAAGGUUAAACAAAUACCUACAGUCUUCUCAGAAAAUACAUAGUGCAUGUACAGUGUAAGUUUAACUUAAAUUAUUGAUAUUCCUGUUAUAGGCAGUUUAAGACUUUUCAACUGAUAUCUUGUCAUGAUCUUGGUUUUUGAUAAUUAAUCGGUAGUGUUAAUAGUUUAGCAUGGGUUGAGUUACUGAGAGGGCACUGAUGUCAUGGGGGGGGGGGGGGCUGCUGCUCUUAUUAAUUGAAUUAAUUGUUUAGACAGAUAACUGGAAUCUCAAGUUGGAGCAUAUGUGGGAGGGGUCGAUCAUGUUGCAUUCCUUUACUUUUCUUUUCACUCCUUGAUGGGAUGUCACAUAUCAUUUCAGAUACCCCUCCCCCCCCUAUAGGUAUUCCUCUCAAGCAAAUCAAUCGAUAGAGGAAUGUGUAAUUGGGUUAGUUCAGCAAUUACAUAAUGAUGCCUUUUGUCUCAAAUUUUCAGACUUGUUGGAUUGGAUAGGAAAGGAUCUUAAAGUAGUGUAGUUAUUUUGGCUCUAUGUUCUCCAGUUUCGCUCUGAUGAGUGCGAGGUUAUGUCUUUUGUAUGUCUUUUUUGAGAGGCAUGUGCAUUAGUCUUUUCUCUCUUUCAUAGUAUCAACUUGUAUUGACAUCUUUAUAUUAAUUGCAAUCAUGAGAUGUGUAAUAACGAGUACAUUUGUAGGUUCUAUUAUAAUUUGUUUUUUUCUUUGGUGAUGGAUCCUUUCUCUGAAUGCAAUUUGUACUUUAUUUGCCUGUAUAAACAUCUAUGUGUUUUUACAUUUGUUGUUGUUCAGCUACCCUAAAUACCCGACGUUAUAUUAUUACCAAGAAUGUGUUUCUUCUAACAAUAUUGACAGAAGAAUUAUAUCUUUAAUAAACGAUUUUAUCAGUAUUGUACUACAUGUACUUCAAACUGGAUGAGAUUUAUUCUUUUGCAA